UACUUGUGUGCGAGUUAAUUCCAUGUGCAGUAAAUUAGAAGGAAUUUUCAAACAUAUUUGUCUCAUGACUGGACACAUGCAUAUGUAUGCAUGGAGUGACAUGGCAUUUAAAUUCCAAAAAACUAAAGAAAAUAACAUAAACGCAUGAAACCUUGGUUGAUGUAAUUUCAUGCCACCAAGAGGAUGCGGUAAAAAAACUGGCAUGUUUGACGAAAGUUUUGACACACACCCCUCACAAACCGGAGCAACUCACUAGAAGGCUUGUGGUUCCGAGAGGGAACACUGCAUGUUUGAUGACGAACGGGAGAUAGCUUCGUGUUACGGCCUUCAAUUUUUUUCUACAUCUAACGCGCAAUACUACAACUGUACUGUGAAAAAUAGGAAAAUUCUAGUGGUCAUUUAACCUUUUAAAGACAUUUAAGUUAAUUUCUAGCCAUUUAAUGACCGUAAUUCACAUUUGAACUACAUCUACAUGCAACGCCUAACCAUAACGGUUUGAAAAAUCAUAUUUGUGUACUUGUGUGCGAGUUAAUUCCAUGUGCAGUAAAUUAGAAGGAAAUUUCAAACAUAUUUGUCUCACAACUGGGCACAUGCAUAUGUAUGCAUGGAGUGACAUGGCAUUUAAAUUCCAAAAAAUUAAAAAAAUAUCAGAAACACAUGAAACCUUGGUUGAUGUAGUGUCAUGCCACCAAGAUGAUGUGGUAAAUUUGGCAUGUGUGACGAAAGUUUGGACACACACCCCUCACAAACCGGAGCAACUCACUAGAAGGCUAGUGGUUCCGAUAGGGACAAUGCAUGUUUGAUGACCAACGGGACAUAGCUUCCUCUUACAGCUUUUAAAUUUUUUCUACGUGUAACGUGCGCUAAUACUACUGACAUGUGAAAAUUUGGAAAAUUUCAGGGGUCAUUUGACCUUUUGAAGACAUUUUAAGUGAUUUUCUAGCCAUUUAAUGACUGUAAUUCAAAUUUGAAUUACAUCUACAUGCAACAGCUAACCAUAAUGGUUUGAAAAAUCAUAUUUGUGUACUUGUGUGCGAGUUAAUUCCAUGUGCAGUAAAUUAGAAGAAAUUUUCAAACAUAUUUGUCUCACGGAUGGACACAUGCAUAUGUAUGCGUGGAGUGACAUGGCAUUUAAAUUCCAAAAAACUAAAAAAAAUAUCAGAAACACAUGAAACCUUGGUUGAUGUAAUGUCAUGCCACCAAGAUGAUGUGGUAAAAUAAUUGGCAUGUUUGACGAAUGUUUGGACACACACCCCUCACAAACCGGAGGAACUCACUAGAAGGCUCGUGGUUUGGAGAGGGAACACUGCAUGUUUGAUGACGAACGGGAGAUAGCUUCCUGUGACGAACUUCAAUUUUUUUCUACGUCUAACGUGCAAUACUACAACUGUACUGUGAAAAAUUGGAAAAUUGUAGGGGUCAUUUGACCUUUUAAAUACAUUUUAGUUAUAUUCUAGCCAUUUAAUGACCGUAAUUCACAUUUGAACUACAUCUACAUGCAAUGCCUAACCAUGAAGGUUUGCAAAAUUAUAUUUGUGUACUUGUGUGCGAGUUAAUUCCAUGUGCAGUAAAUUACAAGGAAUUUUAUAACAUAUUUGUCUCACGACAUGGACACAUGCAUAUGUAUGCAUGGAGUGACAUGGCAUUUUAGUUCCAAAAAAUUAAAAAAAUCAGAAACACAUGAACCUUGGUUGAUGUAAUGUCAUGCCACUAAGAUGAUGUGGUAAAAAAAUUGGCAUGUUUGACGAAAGUUUGGACACACACCCCUCAC
rnacentral:lncRNA from 1 species